rnacentral:misc_RNA from 1 species
AUCAUAAAUCUAAACUCUCUUCAUGAUUCAGCAACUUUCACUUCAAAACAACCUAACAGCAAGCAGUCAGAUCAGUUCUUUUACCAAAAUGGCAGCAAGAAAUGUUGGUAAUUUUGGUUAUGACCACUUAUCAAAAGCCAACAUAAAAAUUAAAAAAUAAACACUAAUUUGUCCAUAAAUCAUAUAUUUUUGCUACCACAUUAUAGGCUAAUAUUCAUAUAAAUAUGAUACUGCAAGAUCAACUACAAAUGAGAUCCAAAUAAAUUGCAAAUUUAGAAGUCCAAACCUUAAGAGUCAUAUAGUCG